rnacentral:lncRNA from 1 species
CGCCUGCCAGGGACGGCCCACCCGAUAUGCCCUCCCUGCCCCUUGGCCGCCCGGAGUGCCCAGGCAGGGGCCAGGCUGCGUCUCCUCCAGGGAAGGGAGGGUGAGGAGCCCCCUCUGCCAGCGGCAGACACUCGGUCCCCACCCUCCUUAGGGACCCCCCCUCCCGGCAGUGUGGACUCCUCCUUGGUCCUGCCGGCGCCCUCGAGGGAGGGCCGAGGGGGUAAAGGCCAGAGCCGGGGCCGGGCCGAGGGUGCCCGCCUACCUGGGAGUUGGCACAGGCAUUGUUCCCACGCUCUGUGGUGCCAAUCCUGGCAUCGCAGCCCUGCCCCACCCUUGCCUUGUGGCGACCAGGGCACCCGGAAUGUGGCUGUGGAUUCCGUCCCCUGGGGCCACGGAUUCCUGUCUCAGUGGGCGAGGGCGGAGGACGGCUUUCCGCCCUUUGAUCCCUGCCAACUCCAGGGAGCUGGGCGCGCCCAGGCCUUGCCAGGCAGGCCACAGGGGAAGCUGGGAGGGGGGCCCAGGCGGGUGCCCCACGGGUUCCUGAUUCCCGUCCUGCCGGCUGGGUGGUGGUCCUGGCCCCUCCCCUCACCUGCGGGCCCAGGUCAAUUCCCCAGCUUGGGCCUGCAGGUGCCGCACAGCUCUGCCCGUCCCCCAGCCUGCCUCGGUGGGGCCGGGCCCCGACUCACUCCGCCAGACUCUUCUUUACCUGCCAGGGUGCUCUGGGCGCCUCCCACCACCCCCCAUCCGCUCUUGAGCCCCCCGGGGGUCCCUGGUGCUGGUCAGGGCGCUGGACCAGGAGGGAAUCCAGGUGUCCUGGCGUCACCCUUGCCUGCAAAGGAGCCAGCGUGCCGCAGCCCAGGGGCAGACCCGAAGGCCCUCACCCUCAAAUGUGCUCGUUUCCCGCCCUUCUUAGCCUCUCUGAGCCUGCGACAGUCGCCCUGUCACUCAGGGGACCUUGUGUUCAAGUGCUACUGGGCCCCCCCGACCCUGGGACAAGGGGGGGGGCAGAGCUGGGUCUCAUCAGGAGCUCCUGAGAGGCAGAAGGACCCAGGAGGGCAGCUGGCCUCUGCUUGGCCACCUCUGCCAGUUGUGCCCCGGGUUCCCUCACCUGCCAGAUGGAAAUCGCAGCAAUUAGCACCUCCUCCCAGAGGCCUGUCUGGGGCCUGCUCCAUCCGCCCCACGCAGCCAAGGAGAGGGGACUCCAGUUGGGCACCACCAGCGGAGGAAGGGGGCGCCCAGACCCCAGGCAGGAGCAGCUGGCCCUUGGGGACCUUCCUGCGAAGGUCUGGGCUCUGCAUGGUGUCCCAGCAGGGCUCGGGGGUGCUCUAUUGCCCCCCGUGUAUGGGGACACUCCCCAGCCAAUGGGUCCUCUGGCUACGGGACCGCCGGAGACCCGGAGUGUCCUUUCUCAAAGGGGUGCCUCCUUCCGGAGGUGGGAGAGGGGCGAGCCAGGCCGGGUCCUCAGGUGCACACAGGAGGGCGAGGCGGCCUGCACCCACUGAGCAGCCAGGGAUGCUUCCUGGAGGAGGCACAGGGCAGCGACCCUUGGCCGCCGGGGGCACUCCUGACAACGCCUCCACCCACAUGAAGGGAUGA